GUUUCAAUUCCUCAUAGGCAGGCUAUCGGCUUGCAUUUAAAUCAAAUGCGUGCUAAAAUAAGAGAGG
rnacentral:sRNA from 1 species